UAUCCAGACUCCUACGGGAGGCAGCAGUGAGGAAUAUUGGUCAAUGGGCGGGAGCCUGAACCAGCCAAGCCGCGUGAAGGAAGAAGGCGCCAGGCGUCGUAAACUUCUUUUGUCGGGGAACAAAGGGCGCCACGCGUGGCGUUGUGAGUGUACCCGAAGAAAAAGCAUCGGCUAACUCCGUGCCAGCAGCCGCGGUAAUACGGAGGAUGCGAGCGUUAUCCGGAUUUAUUGGGCGUAAAGGGUGCGUAGGCGGCCUUUUAAGCGCGGGGUCUAAGGCGGUGGCCCAACCACCGUUCGCCCCGCGAACUGGAGGGCUAGAGUGUCGGAGAGGGAAGCGGAAUUCCUAGUGUAGCGGUGAAAUGCGUAGAUAUUAGGAGGAACACCAGUGGCGAAGGCGGCUUCCUGGACGAAGACUGACGCUGAGGCACGAAAGCGUGGGGAGCGAACAGGAUUAGAUACCCCAGUA
rnacentral:rRNA from 1 species